GGGGAAUAUUGGGCAAUGGGCGCAAGCCUGACCCAGCGACGCCGCGUGGGUGAUGAAGGCCUUCGGGUUGUAAAACCCUUUCGUGCGGAAAGAACAGCCCUGUAGUUAAUAUCUGCAGGGUUUGACGGUACCGCAGGAAGAAGCACCGGCUAACUCCGUGCCAGCAGCCGCGGUAAUACGGAGGGUGCAAGCGUUGUUCGGAAUUAUUGGGCGUAAAGGGCGCGUAGGUGGUUGUGAUAGUCAGAUGUGAAAUCCUUUGGCUUAACUGAAGAACUGCAUCUGAAACUUCAUAACUCGAGUACAGGAGAGGGAAACGGAAUUCCCGGUGUAGAGGUGAAAUUCGUAGAUAUCGGGAGGAACACCAGUGGCGAAGGCGGUUUCCUGGCCUGAUACUGACACUGAGGCGCGAAAGCGUGGGGAGCAAAC
rnacentral:rRNA from 1 species